rnacentral:rRNA from 1 species
CCUACGGGUGGCAGCAGUGAGGAAUAUUGGUCAAUGGGCGGAAGCCUGAACCAGCCAAGCCGCGUGAGGGAAUAAGGCCCUACGGGUUGUAAACCUCUUUUGCCGGGGAGCAAGGGCCGGGACGCGUACCGGCCCGGAGAGUACCCGGAGAAAAAGCAUCGGCUAACUCGGUGCCAGCAGCCGCGGUAAUAGGGAGGAUGCGGGCGUUAUCCGGAUUUAUGGGGUUUAAAGGGUGCGUAGGCGGGCUUUUAAGUAAGCGGUAAAAAUUCGGGGCUCACCCCCGGCCGGCCGUUGAUACUGGGGGCCUUGAGAGUGCGUGCAGAAGGCGGAAUGCGUGGUGUAGCGGUGAAAUGCAGAGAUAUCACGCAGAACCCCGAUUGCGAAGGCAGCCUUCCGGCGCCCUACUGACGCUGAGGCACGAAAGUGCGGGGAUCGAACAGGAUUAGAUACCCUUGUAGUC